rnacentral:misc_RNA from 1 species
GAUGAAGAACGCAGCGAAAUGCGAUACUUGGUGUGAAUUGCAGAAUCCCGUGAACCAUCGAGUCUUUGAACGCAAGUUGCGCCUCAAGCCAUUAGGUUGAGGGCAAGUCUGCCUGGGCGUCACAUAUCGUUGCCUGAUGCCAGUUUCCUCGUGAUGGGUGACUGUGCAGGGCGAAUGAUGGCUUCCCGUGAGCAUUGUUGCCUCAUGGUUGGUUGAAAAUUGAGUCCUUGGUAGGGAGCGCCGUGAUAGAUGGUGGUUGAGUGACGAACGAGACCCAAUCAUGUGAGACCCCUACCGAAUUUGGCCUUCAUGACCCACAUGCGUCUUUGGAACGCUCAUGACGAGACCUCAGGUCAGGCGGGGCUACCCGCUGAGUUUAAGCAUAUCAAUAAGCGGAGGA